UGGGAGCUUGCUCCCAUGAAGUCAGCGGCGGACGGGUGAGUAACACGUGGGCAACCUGCCUGUAAGACUGGGAUAACUUCGGGAAACCGGAGCUAAUACCGGAUAAUUCUUUCCCUCACAUGAGGGAAAGCUGAAAGAUGGUUUCGGCUAUCACUUACAGAUGGGCCCGCGGCGCAUUAGCUAGUUGGUGAGGUAACGGCUCACCAAGGCAACGAUGCGUAGCCGACCUGAGAGGGUGAUCGGCCACACUGGGACUGAGACACGGCCCAGACUCCUACGGGAGGCAGCAGUAGGGAAUCUUCCGCAAUGGACGAAAGUCUGACGGAGCAACGCCGCGUGAGUGAUGAAGGUUUUCGGAUCGUAAAACUCUGUUGUUAGGGAAGAACAAGUACCGGAGUAACUGCCGGUACCUUGACGGUACCUAACCAGAAAGCCACGGCUAACUACGUGCCAGCAGCCGCGGUAAUACGUAGGUGGCAAGCGUUGUCCGGAAUUAUUGGGCGUAAAGCGCGCGCAGGCGGUUCCUUAAGUCUGAUGUGAAAGCCCCCGGCUCAACCGGGGAGGGUCAUUGGAAACUGGGGAACUUGAGUGCAGAAGAGAAGAGUGGAAUUCCACGUGUAGCGGUGAAAUGCGUAGAGAUGUGGAGGAACACCAGUGGCGAAGGCGACUCUUUGGUCUGUAACUGACGCUGAGGCGCGAAAGCGUGGGGAGCAAACAGGAUUAGAUACCCUGGUAGUCCACGCCGUAAACGAUGAGUGCUAAGUGUUAGAGGGUUUCCGC
rnacentral:rRNA from 2 species